UACGUAGGGUGCAAGCGUUAAUCGGAAUUACUGGGCGUAAAGCGUGCGCAGGCGGUGAUGUAAGACAGUUGUGAAAUCCCCGGGCUCAACCUGGGAACUGCAUCUGUGACUGCAUCGCUGGAGUGCGGCAGAGGGGGAUGGAAUUCCGCGUGUAGCAGUGAAAUGCGUAGAUAUGCGGAGGUACACCGAUGGCGAAGGCAAUCCCCUGGGCCUGCACUGACGCUCAUGCACGAAAGCGUGGGGAGCAAACAGG
rnacentral:rRNA from 1 species